AUGAACAAGGGGAAGAUUUUCAAGUUGGCAAAGGGAUUUAGAGGAAGGGCGAAAAAUUGCAUAAGGAUAGCACGGGAGAGGGUUGAGAAAGCCUUGCAAUAUUCCUACAGGGAUAGGCGUAACAAGAAGAGAGACAUGCGGUCCCUAUGGAUUGAGCGCAUCAAUGCUGGUACACGACUGCAUGGGGUGAAUUAUGGCAACUUCAUGCAUGGAUUGAUGAAGGAGAACAUCCAACUGAACAGGAAGGUGCUCUCGGAGCUGUCAAUGCAUGAGCCAUACAGCUUCAAGGCACUUGUUGAUGUAUCUCGCACUGCAUUUCCGGGGAACAGACCACCUACCCAAAAGGAAGGUCUAGCAGCUAUUCUGUGA
rnacentral:rRNA from 1 species